CCUGGGCUCGAAUCCCAGCAGCCACACUUCCUUUUUUUUCAAACCUUACACUCUGGCUUUGCAUCUGUCUACAGCUUGAAAUCGCUGUUGAAGGAUUUACGCAUAUUAUUGAUGAUUUCCCUAAACGUGCGGGUGCACUUUGAUUUAACAUCUCAACAUGGCUGGCUCAUAUCAAAACUUGCAUUUUGCCAUUAUAAAAGGAAUUCCACCAACCUCUUUCAUUUUCACCACCCGAACAUCUUUCUCCAACACAAGUCUUGUUUUUCUUUUCAUUUCUCUCUCCUUUCUUUCUCUUCAAAAAUUAACAGAGAAAGUGAAGGAGAGAGAGAAAAACAAAACAUAGAUCAUGGCUUCAUUUAGGGUGGUUGUCUUCCUUUGCAUCAUUUAUGCAACUCUUAUGUCUGUCGUUUCUUCGCAAUCUACUGCACCUGCUCCAGCUCCUACAAGCGAUGGAACUACCAUUGAUCAAGCGGUUGCAUGUUUACUAAUGCUUUUCGCUUUGGUGCUCACCUAUAUCAUUCAUUAAUUUAUUCAUCUUCUAAUUCUAAGUUCAUGGAUGGCAACAGAGCUUAAUUUUUUAGGCAAAGAUGCAUUUAUUCAUGUCAUAAUUAGAGAGGAGGGUGAGAUUUUAAUUGGGGAAAUGCGUUGUGUAUAAUUAUUUCUCUUGUGCUUCCAAUAAAAAUCUCAUUUUAUUUUUCCAGUU